GGAACUCCCUGACCCCUUGCGCUUUCUGAGUGAGGCAGUGCCUCGCCCUGCUUCGGCUCGCACACGGUGCGCGCACCCACUGACCUGCGCCCACUGUCUGGCACUCCCUAGUGAGAUGAACCCGGUACCUCAGAUGGAAAUGCAGAAAUCACCCGUCUUCUGCGUCGCUCACGGUGGGAGCUGUAGACUGGAGCUGUUCCUAUUCGGCCAUCUUGGCUCCUCCGCAUUUGUUUUUAUGGUGGGUUUUGUAUUGUUUUUAUAGAGCUGCCCUCACAUGCUUCAGCAACAUUAGAUGGUCUGGAGACUGGAAAGUCCAAGAUCAUGGUGCCUGAGGAUUCAGUGUCUGGUGGACCCUAUUUAAUGUGGGAGAGGAAUACAUAAAAAGGUGGAUAUCAUGAGGUGAAAAUCAUUGGAGACCAUCUUGGAAGCUGUCUAACGCAACAAGAAUUAUUUUAUUUAUGAUUUAUUUGAAGUCUUUUUUUAUUUAUAAUCUGUUUUACUUGGAAUGAUUGGUUAUCAGACUCAGCACGUUUUCAAAUCUGUAUAACAGAUGCUAUCUUGUUUGUCAUUAGGUAAGUUCACCUGAAACCCUCAGGCAAGCCUUUCAGAACUAAUGCCUGUUGUAAUUCCCUUAUUUCUUAUGUGAUUUAAAUUGUGAAAAGCCCAUAUUUCUUUUGAAAAAUCAUUGCUUGUCUUUUGUCUCUGAUGUUAGCAUGUUUUCAGGCAAUGUUUUUGAAGUUAAAUAUAUUUGUUGUUUAGAGAUGACUUUUCUCUGCCCUUUUAUUUUACAUACAAGGGUACUAGUAUCCAGAGAGGUCAAGUGGCUAAGGAUGCAAAAUUUGUAAUAAAAUUUAGGUUUUCUGAAUCUUAUUACAGGAGAAGAAGAAAAGAUCAACAGACAUAAAAUUUCAGAAUGAUUGACAGUCUUUAAAAUUGUAUGUA
rnacentral:lncRNA from 1 species